rnacentral:rRNA from 1 species
GACGAACGCUGGCGGCGUGCCUAAUACAUGCAAGUAGAACGCUGAAGCGAGGAGCUUGCUCUUCUUGGAUGAGUUGCGAACGGGUGAGUAACGCGUAGGUAACCUGCCUUGUAGCGGGGGAUAACUAUUGGAAACGAUAGCUAAUACCGCAUAACAAUGGAUGACACAUGUCAUUUAUUUGAAAGGGGCAAUUGCUCCCCUCCAAGUUGGACCUGCGUUGUAUUAGCUAGUAGGUGAGGUAAUGGCUCACCUAGGCGACGAUACAGAGCCGACCUGAGAGGGUGAUCGGCCACACUGGGACUGAGACACGGCCCAGACUCCUACGGGAGGCAGCAGUAGGGAAUCUUCGGCAAUGGGGGCAACCCUGACCGAGCAACGCCGCGUGAGUGAAGAAGGGUUUCGGAUCGUAAAGCUCUGUUGUAAGUCAAGAACGGGUGUGAGAGUGGAAAGUUCACACUGUGACGGUAGCUUACCAGAAAGGGACGGCUAACUACGUG